rnacentral:rRNA from 1 species
CUCUCUGAUUCAGCGGCGGACGGGUGAGUAAUGCCUAGGAAUCUGCCUGGUAGUGGGGGACAACGUCUCGAAAGGGACGCUAAUACCGCAUACGUCCUACGGGAGAAAGCAGGGGACCUUCGGGCCUUGCGCUAUCAGAUGAGCCUAGGUCGGAUUAGCUAGUUGGUGAGGUAAUGGCUCACCAAGGCGACGAUCCGUAACUGGUCUGAGAGGAUGAUCAGUCACACUGGAACUGAGACNCGGUCCAGACUCCUACGGGAGGCAGCAGUGGGGAAUAUUGGACAAUGGGCGAAAGCCUGAUCCAGCCAUGCCGCGUGUGUGAAGAAGGUCUUCGGAUUGUAAAGCACUUUAAGUUGGGAGGAAGGGCAGUAAAUUAAUACUUUGCUGUUUUGACGUUACCGACAGAAUAAGCACCGGCUAACUCUGUGCCAGCAGCCGCGGUAAUACAGAGGGUGCAAGCGUUAAUCGGAAUUACUGGGCGUAAAGCGCGCGUAGGUGGUUUGUUAAGUUGGAUGUGAAAUCCCCGGGCUCAACCUGGGAACUGCAUUCAAAACUGACAAGCUAGAGUAUGGUAGAGGGUGGUGGAAUUUCCUGUGUAGCGGUGAAAUGCGUAGAUAUAGGAAGGAACACCAGUGGCGAAGGCGACCACCUGGAC